AUGCUCACUUCAACAGCAUAUAUACUAAAAUUGGAAUGGUACAGAGAAGAUUAGCAUGGCCCCUGCACAAGGAUUCCACGCAAAUUCGUGAGACGUUCCAUAUUAAA